CCGUGCCGGGCUCGAGGCCGGGGGGGCGGCUCCGGCCCCGGGUCGGUCCCGCCGGGGUCGGCCUGUCCCCGCUCCGCUGGCGGGAGCGACGCCGCCCGCACCGCCGGAGGGGACGGAGCUGGCAGAGAGAGCUUUAAGCCGCUGCUAAGUACAUGAAGAGCGAAGGUUCGUGACCGGGGUUCAAAACCCUGCGGGGAAGCCCGGUGCACUGAGAGAGGCACGUUAGAUGACAUUCCUGACUGGAACAGAUACAACUGCAGUGUGAAUCCUCAUAUGGCUGCAAGCACGCAAUGCUGAUGUGGAAGUUAAGUGUCCUCAGCCACCCCUUCUCUCCCUGCAGUGAAGUCACCCUGUGUGUGCAGUGUCCAGGAGUACAGAGCUAUGGCUGCACUAACGUUGCUCACAGUUGUGUUGCUGUAACCAGGCUGGUACAGUUGUGAGUGCUAGAACAUAUGCCUAAAUAGCUAGAAAACUCUUGGCUAGGAAGAGAAAGUCCUGUUUCACCCCUUGCAUUAUCACUGCAGGGUAGUUGAUGACAGAAGGCAAAGCUUGCUGUGGUCUGUAGAAAUGACACUGACAGUCUGGUAAAUAUGAGUUUCAUCAGACAAAUUGAGCUAUGCGGUGACAAAGUUCAUCAGCUGCUAUGCCCUGCAGCACUAAAAUGUUAGCUCCCUUUCCCAUCCUGCUCAGUUUGCUCUUCAUUGGCUCUUGUAAGCAGAAAUCAUUACAUUUAGCAAGACAUACCUGCUUUUUUUAAAAAGUGCUUUCUACAUGUUGACUUCAGACUUUGUACUAGAGGUGUUUGCAUUGCUGAAAUAUUAAAAAAGCAAAUGAAAAGACUAAGAAAAUAUUUUCUGAAAUGUUUAAAAUGUAAUUUUUCCUUAAGAGUCAAUGUUCCACUGAAUAGUUAUGUAACAAUAUUUAAAUGCAGUCUUUUCUUGUUAGGCAUAAUGAAUAUAAUGUGAAGCUACAUCAAAAGACAGAAACAUACUACCAUGAAACAAACCCUUGUGAGUCCUGUGAUUCUUAGGAAAUCAUGUUUGGCUGAAAUUUAAUUUCUUUUAAGUUUUGUUACAAAGUCAAAAGCAAAAAAUUAAAAGUGCGAAGUAGACAUAGAUCUCCUCAUGCCUGAAGGUCCACUUCCACAUCUCAGUGUCUUUUAACAGUGUUAGACCAAGUUCCAGCAGGGAUUCACUCUCUGCUAGAUCUCCAAUCCUCUCAAGAGCAUUAGGCUUAGUGCCAGCAUUCAUUUACUCUUGUAACAGCUUAAAUUAACUCCUGUUACAUUCUAUCUAAACCCUUUCUUACAGAGUAAGGGUUGAGAGCUGGAUUCAGUCACCUAGUCUGAGGGCCACCCAUCAUGCUCGUCCAUCUUUCAGGGUUUCAAGUGCUGCAUAAGCUGGACUGAGGAAGGCGAUGAUCAGCCAUUGGUAAAUUGAAGGAGGGGCUGGCAAGCCAUCUUUUGUAUACAUGUCCCUAUUUCCUGAGGAAGAGCGUGGGGGUGGUCUGACUUAUUUACCCUAAGUACAUAUGACAGUAAGCUCCAAAAAAUUGUAAGAUCUGAGUAGGCUAGGCACUGUGCUAACAGUAUUUUGAUAACUUUCCUGGAGGAGCUGAACAGACAAGCUAAUUGAAAGACGGGAAAUAUCACUGCUUGGUUUUGCAGGUCAAGAACUGGACUGUAGAUUAUAUUUUGCCCAAACUCAGAUAGAAGACUGAAACAAAAUGUCUCACAAAGCCAGGCCUUCUUUAGCCCCUUCAAAAUUACAUUGGUCCUCUUUAAGAAUAUCACUUAUAUUUUACUUUAACGGACAUGAGAGCAAUCUGUCUGACUGUGAUUACAAGGCAAAUGCUCUGAAACAGGUAAGGAUAUAAGCACAAGGAAGACAAGUUUUCCUAAAGGUGAUAACACAAAAUAAGCACACUUAGAAAAGUACAGGAUAGUUGGUUAGAACUGAACAGUCAUUAAAGUUGGCCAGCUGAUACCUUGAUCUCUAUCCAGAGUCUCUAAAAUCCUGUACCAAGGUCUUCAUGAUGAAGGCUGAGAGUUGGCUUCAGGGACUUCCAAAGCUCUUUUGUAUUCUAGAAAGACUAUUAUUGGUAAAAUAUUUAGAACCUUUAAAGGUCAUCUAAUCCCCACACCCCCCCUCCAAUGAGCAGGAACAUAUUCAGCUAGGUCAGGUUGCUCAGAGCCCUUUUCAACCUUACCUUGAGUAUUUGCGUAAUUUUUACCCAUCCCUCUCCACAAGAAAAAAACCCCAAACAAACAACAAAUAGAGAAGAGAUCAGUUUCAAGGAAGCUGAAAUACCUUUCUCUGAUGAAUAAGUUUUAAGAUGACAAUGUGCUGUUAGUUUACAGAAAAUCCAGUUGUUUUGUAUGCUUUCAAGAUGAUGGAAAUGGAACUAAUUAUCAGACAGUCAACAUUCAUCCACUAGUAAAACUGAAAAUAAAUGUGAACAUUUUGUGGCUAGAUAACACUGUUCAGUCAUAAAUAAGAGUUCACAGUCAUCUUUGCAUUUAGGAGUACACUAUAAAUAUAGCUUAUCUUCAAAUAUUUUCAACUUGCUGGAGUUACUUGAAAGCUUAUCAUGAUAGAGUCCAUUUAAAAGGAAAAGAAUUAAAAUUUAUCUAAGAUAUGUGUCCCCAAAUACCUCUCAUAGCAUUCAUUUAUAUUGACCUUUCUAACAUACUGUCUUCCCACACUCUUUGUAUAUAGUUAGCUGAAAAAACACCUUGCUGGCAUUUGUAAAAAGUUCCCUAAAACUUCAGAAUUACUUUUUUUCAGUCAAGUUUAAAAACAGAGAAGAAAAGUUAAAAGCAAAAUUCUUACUUUAAAAAAAAUAAAUGUGAGAAUGGAAAAUACCAGUAAUGUAAUUGGAAAGAUUUUAAAAUACAGUUUCUAAGUUGUCAGUGACCUUUUUGUGAUAAAUAUUUGAUUCAUAAAAGAAAUGUUAUGCAGACUUUUAAAACACUGCUUUUAUGAAUAAAUACAGGUCAGAAAAUAAAAUAAAAAAUGCAGCUCAAAACUGAUAUUGUCUUGUGAAAGACUAUGCAUUUUUUUUAAUUUGAAAAAUAUGUUUGCUAUGACUUUCCGUGUAAGGCUGUAGGUCUCAAUUUUGUGACAAGUUACAUAUAUUAUGCCUAAUUUUAAGCAUUUUGGAAAAUUUUGUGGUCUGAAGCAAGUCUACUUUGACUGCAUAAAAUCAGCUGUAUACCUAAAUCUUUGAAGAGUGGGGACUUUCUUGCCAUUAGAUAAGAACUGUUGUUCAACUUCUAUUUUAUCUUUUAAAGAUAACAUCCCAUGGCAAUUUUGCAACAAUAAUAGAAGUUCCCUGAAAAUGCUUUAAGUAAUGGAAUUACAUUAUGUAUUUUAACUAUUAUAUUUUCCUCCUUUUUCCAGCUGAAUAAGUUAUACUUCAUUUUUCUUCCCUUCCAAACAUUCUUCUGUGGUGUUGCUAGCGCUGAUUAAAAAGGUAGACCUAUAUCUAAGUGAAAUCCUAUAAUUUUGACUUUUUACCUGUCUUUUUAUACACAUACCUAUGUGUACAUAUGUAUUUUGCCUACAAUAUAUUAAUCAUAGGUUUUCCUGAAAUCAUAUGUAAAUAUAAAAUUUUAUUGCAGGGACUUUACUGUAUUUCAGGGCGCGUUUCUUCUCUUUUCUUUCAUUAUCUGAAAUCAGUGUGAGCAUUGCAAUCAAUUUUAAUUAUACCAGUAUUUUACCCUGAGUUUUAUAGGAAGAGCUGGCAGCAACAACUAUAGUUAAGGUUGCUUAAGACUUUCCACUGUAUAGAUUCUGUACUUAAAAAAGAGAGGGAUAGAAAUUGUACAUAAGAGUACAAUAAAACAUGUUAAGAUUAGCAAAGUUAAUUUUAUCUGUGUUACUUGAAAAACUAGAAGGAUUUAUUAGGGACUCUGACUUUAUAUUUUUAAAUGCAAUGUGACUGAGACUGAUAUAAUUUUAAAUAAUUAUUGUUAUGAAGUUCAAAAAAUACUAUAAAGAUGGCAAAGACAUUACUUCACAGUAUUACUUAAGAAACAAUUAUAGAAUUAUCAGUAUUUUAACCUGUAAAAUAUUUUUAAAAUAUAUGUUUUCUGGGAAUGUUGAAGUAGAAAAUGUAUCAUAUACCUUCUUGUUUCUUUUCCCAGACCACUCUCUAAAGCUACUAUUAAUAACACGUUGCAGUACUACUGUGAUUUAUUAAUGCAAGUUACCUUAAUUAUAACAUCUUUAAUACUGCUGAAGAUGGUGAAUUAUAUAUAAUCAUUUCUGUGAAAAAGAAAGGAAUUAUAAAACUCUAAAUUACUGUUUUCUGUAAUGUAUUCCAUUAUUUCAAGUAGUGUUUUCUCCUUUUGCUCACAAUACUAUUUAUGAGCUUUGGUUACACCUACUUUUGUGUAAGCAUGGGAAGGCAUGAUUAUUUUUCAAAUAUGUAUGUGUAGUUGUUUAGUAACUAAACUUAGUAUAGGGUCCAAUCUAAGCUAAUAGAAUGAGUGUGUGGUAGACACAUACCUUCACUAUAAAAGAUUCUCUCAUCCUUUCCUAAAAGAUUUAAAAGUCCUAAUACAAAGUUCAUUGUAGUCAGCAGAAUCUCUUUCCAUAGGUUUCUGCAUUUGGCAGUUGCAGAGCUGAAAAACAGCUUUGCUAUCUGUGUAAAUAUUGUGGGCAGUCUUGGUAUAUUUGCUAGUGAGGAAUUCCUCAGUCUGUAGCUACAUCAAACUAGACUACUGGAUCCACUCACAAAGGCUUAGUAAUAGUGUCAUUAAUAAAAUCUCUGAAGGAACUAUGGACAAAGCUGCUCUUUGGGGAGUGGUCCCCACUUGGCACCAUUCAGGCAGGAGCUGUUGGCUGAGUACACCCAGAGAGGUUUUUAGUCCAUUACAGAACCCUUUUCUAAAGGAGGGAAGUGUCUUGAAGGAACUUGAGGGAGUUGGUACUCUGCAAUAUUUGAAUUGCAUGCGUCCAAGGAGGCAUAAGAUAUACAAAGAGCAAAAAGCUGAGAUACACAGACUGUCUCAUGUUCACAAGGGUUAGGAAGUCUCCUGUUCACGUGACAUUUACAGUGUUUAUGGGUCUCAUGUUCCCGCAGCUUAGGUGUAGAUUCUCUGUAUCUGGUCUGUAAUGGAGAGAUUAAGUUGGAGCAGCCCAGAGCACAGCUAGAACACCUGCAUGAUGGGGGUUCUGGUCCCUGAGCUCUCGUUCAUGUAGCACAAAAGAUGUAUCCCUACAGUAUUGGUAGGAUCCACAGCAAAACAGCUGUAACUUCAUUUCUGAGGAAAGGAGACUGGUGAGAUUAAACCAUGUGCAAUGGAGGUUUUCACUGAAAGGCAGGAGUAUGUAAGACAUGGCUAAGAUUCAUCCCACUAAAAAUAAAUGUGUACAUACAGGUUCUGCACCUGAAUUUAUCACCUUAUGCUCUCUCUAAUGGGGGGAAGUGUGCAUCUCUGUGUCAUGACUUGUCUCGUUCCGAGAUGGGUGUUUAAAGUGGCUCAGUUGAGUCUCAACCAAAGAAAUAUCCGUAUCACUCUUUCUGGCUUUAAGGGGAACUGAGAUAAUUUUUAUUCAGCUGUAAAUAUCUGUGAACUGCUUUUCUUUUCUGCUUAUGGUUGCUGCAGAGAUUCUUGAAAAGGAACUCUUGCAGAUCUGGAUAUCAAACCUGCUGGGCACAUAUGCUGUCAGAGUUGGCAACAAAAGAGAUAGUCAGGCACAGUUUGAUUAUGGGUUGCCACCCUGAUGACAGAUGAAAGCAGGGAUGUGUUACUUCAAGAUGCAGCUGAGGGAAGAAUAUCUUAUUGCUGUUGCAUGGGAAAAGUUGUGAUAUCCUCCCUCCCUGUGUACUAACUUGUUACUAGGCCUAUGAACAUCUGUAUUUGUAAGCACUGGAAUUUACAUCUUUUUUAUGUCUUGACUUGGAUGAAAAAUAUGUGUAUCUUCUGUCAGUUCAGACAUUAGUCUAUCAUCUGCUGCAGAGAGAGCUUGGAGAGAGCUGACAAAAUUAAAUGAUCCAGUGUUCUGGAGGAUACCUGCCUACUUGCCUGUGGUAGUUGAAGGCACUUAAAGAGUGCUUGCCUUACCGUGCUAAGUUGCCCCUAAGAUUAGCUGGGUGGGGCUCUGUGAGAAGGGAGAGGGUGACUGAUGACUAUUGUUCUCCACAGCAGCAAGAUAAACUGCCAUUUUGACUCAGACGAUCUGAGGUCAGUCAGAAGCCUCCCACAUCAUAAGCCUUGAGAAGCUCCAGGAAGCUGGCACCAGUGAAGAACUUAGGACCAGCAGAGUCUGUAGGUAAUGUGCUGGAAACCAGGGACUAUCCAUGGCGUGAUCUUACCCCAAAUCUACCCAUGACAGCGAUCUGUUACACCUGAUAACAUCUCAGCACCCAAAACAGCCCACUGCUAUUACCAGGCCUGGAUUGACGAAGUGGAAGGCAAGCUUGAGGAAUAAGUAUUGCAUUAUUAUAUUGAAUAAAUGGUAGGCUAGCAGUUGUUGUUACAGAUUAAGUAGGGUCUAAAUGACUUAACACCCAUGGAAUCUCCACCUGUUGUCUUCUCCUCUUAGUCUACUCUCCACCUUAAUCUCUUUUUUUAUAACCUCUAUUUUAUUGUAAGUAAUAUUGUGCGUAUUCAGCAACUAGGUUGACUUGCUGAUCACCAUAAACUCAACUGCCACUGGUAGUUGGAGAGGUACCAGAAUCCCUCCAGGGAGAGCCACAGGAGACUCUGCUGCUCUGAAAGGUUAGGGUACCUCAUCAAGAACUAAGUAGUACGGCAUCUGUGGAGGGUCACUAGAGGUUGAUUACCUUGUGUUUUGUACCAUGGACUGCAUUAGGCUGAAAUGACUUGUCUAAGAUCUUAAAACAAGGCAGUGACAGAGCUGGAAAUAAUCUCUGAAGGUAAAUGCUAUUUGUAGCAUAUUUUCUGCCAUUAUUGCCUUUUUGGGUGGUUUCUGGUUGAUUACUGCAAAUGAAAAAAAUAAAAUAAAAUUUCUGCAUUACUGAACUUUUGGCAUCCACGUUUGAUUUUAAAUCCAAGGAUGUCUGUGUCUGUCUUAUGUCACUACUGAUCCACUUUCUUAAAUCCACCUUACAUGUCCUACAGAAAUGGGUUUAGACAUUAAAAUCAUCUGUCCUGCCUUCUCCUGUGCAUCCUGGAGUUACAAUACUAAUACUGUACAAAACACAACCCUAUUGUCAUAGAGAUAAUAAUAUUAGGUGUUAGGCUUGUGAAUAAAAGGGAGAGUUUAUACUGUUUUCUAGUAAAUCAGAGGAAUGGUAAGAUGUUUACUCACAAAAGGUAUCUUGCCUGGUUUCUCCAUACUUGAUACUACAUUGGCAGUUAUGAAACUAGAAAUUACUGUUGUGUUUUUACACAAAAGGAGAAAUUCUGCAAGAGAAAAUUUAAUGCAAUUUGGACCACUUUUUAGUCUUCAGAAUCUACCACAUUUUCCCUGCCACCCAAAUUAUUAAAAUUAUAAGUAGUUUUGCAAGGCUGUUAGUAUUAUUUUCUCAGCUCACCCAAAGUUUUUGCAAGACUUAUUAUCUAUGAUGAAUCACAACAUCUUUUAUUCAUAUAGUUAUAAGUGCAUUAAAGCUGUCAGGUAUAAUUUGCCGCUUUUUCUUCUUUUGAUUCAGCAUGCUUUCUGAAAAGAAGCUAAUUUAAUAACUAAAGAAUCUAAGUUUUAUAAUCAAAUUUAUUAUAUUUACCAGACCUGAAUUUCAGAUGGGAUAACAUUAAAAAUGUGCUUGAAAAGAGCAGAAUUGCCAGUGGGCAUUGAAUUAGCAGCCUGAAAAAUAUCUAAUAAUGUUGUGAUCAAGAGUGUUAUGAUGAUGAGAGAAGGAAGAGGAAUUCCUUUUGUCUUUAUCUGUAGCUUUUACAUAUUGUGCAAACUGAAAUGAAGGGUAGAACCUCAGCCCAAAGCUUCAAUUCAGGGGAAAGAGUGUUCUGUUUUUAGAUUUUUUAGUGAUUUUCAGUGUGCCUAUAUAACGUGGUGCUGCAACGCUGCCUACAAAUCUCUAAAUUACUGCUAGAGAAGUAGAUGCUGCUGUUUAUGUGCAUAUACGAGCACUUGCCACUGUACACUGGGUGCCAGAUGUAAUCCCAUGAGUUCUGCAUCCAACAAAUUUCUGCUGAAUUCUGGAUGAGGUUUGUGCUUGGAAGGCUUCUGGAUCAAGGUUUCCUGUCAGAAAGUGCUCUAUAAAAGACCUGUUCAAAAUGAACAGAACAAAAACCCAACAAAAGCAAGUCUUUUCCUGUUGCUCAUGUGAGUCUCCUCUGACUCUUGGUCCCCUAACCCUCUUAACCAAAUUUGUGGCACAGAUUGUAUUUUAUUUACAGAUAGAGGUUAAGACAGCCUGUUAUUUUGCGAUCACAUUAGUUUCAUUUGUACUGUGGAGAUUUUUAAUUCCCAAAGGUGCUGCCAGUUUUUGGAUGCACAAUUUAAGUUUAAGCAGAGUUUUUCUUUUUCCCAAGGACUUCUACAGACUUUCAGGUAUUUAAAAUAUGAAGUUGUGGUUCUCUUUGAUUCAUCGUCUGUUAAAGAAUGUUGGCUGUACUAAAACUGGCAAUGAGGCUAAACAAGAAUAAAAAAGAAGUAUUCCAGAGAACCAAAAUAUGGUAGAGUAUUUGUCUUCUGAAGCCACACCAAAGCAUGACUAAGAUGAAAGGCAAGGCUGCAGUGGAAUUUGAAGAUGAGAUGGCUCCAUACUGAGAGCAGAACUGGAGAUGAGAUCAAAGAUGAUUGAAUUGAGUUGAUUGCACCUUCCUGAAUAGGUAAAGAAGCAGGAAAGUGUAAGAACCUUUCAAUAAUUAUAAGCAAUUAGAGGGAAAAAAACAAACCCCAGAAGACGAGACGUAAAAACAGCUCACAUGACAUUGCAAUCUCAUAGUUUAUGUUGUCAGCAAAAAGAAGUUGGAUGAAUUUCUGCAGACUCAACAGUAAUUGCCAUGCAGCAGCAGUUAGUACUAUGGAAAUGCUGGAACUGAAGGGAACCAGCUAGCCUGUAGUGACUGGGAACAGAUGUCCUCUGAAGAGCAUGAGACAGCAUUCUGCAAUGUGAGAGAAAUCUUUGCCUAUCAGUCUAAACUGGUGACUGGGACAAGUUUCUCUCAUGAGAUAGGAAUUUUACAUUUUUCCUUCUUUUGUGUCACUAGAUACCUAGUCUGGUUCUCAGUGGAGAUGUAACAGUCUAUUUUUGUAAAUGCAUCCUAAUGGACUUUAAUUUUUAGCAGUUACAUAUAUUCGAAAUAUCAGCAUUAGGACUAACAGGGGUGCCUGCAUUUGUGGAUAUAUUCAAGGAGUUUAAUGUCAGGAAUAGUUCCUCUCCAUCUUAGUGUGAAUUAAUGUUUUGUAAUGAUCUGGAUGUAACUGACCUUGAGUUGAGCAGUUUAUAUUCCUUGUUGGAUUAAGAGGGGUUAAGCUCAUGCAGUUCUAUACAAUUGAGCAGUUUUAACUGGAGCCACUUGUGUGAAUCUUGCCUCAGGAGGUUUGAGGUUACUGCCUAAUAUUUUUGGCCAGUGGACAGAAGUAGGAUUUGCAUUUUCAGCCUGACAAAGAUGGCUGAAGUAUUGAGGGUCAAAGCAGCCACAGUCAGCCCUGAGUCCCCAAACACACAAUAGCUGCGAGCUGUACGCCCAUGCUACCCAACUAAAGUGAAAGGGAGGAGUCAGACUGCUCUGUCUGAUAGGAAAAGGAGUAAAGACUGAUCUCUGUGCUUAAAUGCUGUUCAAAAGAUACAAAAAAUGUAUCAUUUUACCUUCUACUCAGGAAUAGCUUAUCUAAGAACUGCUCUUGAAAGGAAUUGCUAGAAAGGCCAGUUACAGGCAGAAUUUAGUAUUGAACUUUGAAGUGUUCUUCGUCUCAUGGUGUAUAUUGAUUGCAUGCUGUCUUGUUGCCUGCACCAGCUUUUCUUCUCAGUUUUCUUAAGAAGAAUCAUGUGAAUAAAAAGGUACCAUGAAUAAAAAAGUACCAUGCUUAUUAGCCUUCGUGGCAGCUCAUGUCUGUUCUCCAUAACCUGGCAGGAUUACCCCUGUGACUACUCAAAUACUCUAAAGCAAAGAUCAUAGCUGUAUAUCCUAUGAAAUAGGAAACCUUCAGUGAUUUCUGUGGAUCCCAUGAAAUAGGAAACCUGUAGCGAUUUAGGUUGGGUUGACAUAAUUUUCAGAAGGGCUAAGGAAGUAUGAAGUGAUGUAAAGUGAUUAUUUUAAAUUUUCAUGUGAAAAAAAUACCACAGAUUAAUGGAAAUGUAAUCUCGCUACAAAAAGAUGAGGCCAGGAAUUUAAAACAGCCAGGAGCUUAAAAUCAGGCACUGAAAUCAUUAUCCUUACUUAGGUCAUAAGUAAAUAAAUAGUUAAAGACAUUAAGGAGUCACAUCAACCCCAUGCUAUAGAUUUGGAGAAGAGUAGCUGGGAAGCUGCCCAGAGGAAAAGAAUGUUGGGGUGCUGGUUGACAGCAGCUGAACAUGGGCCAGCAGUGUGCCCAGGUGGCCAAGAACACCAAUGGCACCCUGACCUUUAUCAGCAACAAUGUGGCCAGCAGGACCAGGGCAGUGAUUGUCCCCCUGUACUUUGCACUG